GUGAAAUUCCGUCGGAAUCUGGGAGGACCAUCUCCUAAGGCUAAAUACUCUCUAGUGACCGAUAGUGAACCAGUACCGUGAGGGAAAGGUGAAAAGCACCCCGGAAGGGGAGUGAAAUAGAACCUGAAACCGUGUGCUUACAAGUAGUCAGAGCCCGUUAAUGGGUGAUGGCGUGCCUUUUGUAGAAUGAACCGGCGAGUUACGAUUUGAUGCAAGGUUAAGCAGUAAAUGUGGAGCCGUAGCGAAAGCGAGUCUGAAUAGGGCGUUUAGUAUUUGGUCGUAGACCCGAAACCAGGUGAUCUACCCUUGGUCAGGUUGAAGUUCAGGUAACACUGAAUGGAGGACCGAACCGACUUACGUUGAAAAGUGAGCGGAUGAACUGAGGGUAGCGGAGAAAUUCCAAUCGAACCUGGAGAUAGCUGGUUCUCUCCGAAAUAGCUUUAGGGCUAGCCUCAAGUGAUGAUUAUUGGAGGUAGAGCACUGUUUGGACGAGGGGCCCCUCUCGGGUUACCGAAUUCAGACAAACUCCGAAUGCCAAUUAAUUUAACUUGGGAGUCAGAACAUGGGUGAUAAGGUCCGUGUUCGAAAGGGAAACAGCCCAGACCACCAGCUAAGGUCCCAAAAUAUAUGUUAAGUGGAAAAGGAUGUGGCGUUGCCCAGACAACUAGGAUGUUGGCUUAGAAGCAGCCAUCAUUUAAAGAGUGCGUAAUAGCUCACUAGUCGAGUGACACUGCGCCGAAAAUGUACCGGGGCUAAACAUAUUACCGAAGCUGUGGAUUGUCCUUUGGACAAUGGUAGGAGAGCGUUCUAAGGGCGUUGAAGCAUGAUCGUAAGGACAUGUGGAGCGCUUAGAAGUGAGAAUGCCGGUGUGAGUAGCGAAAGACGGGUGAGAAUCCCGUCCACCGAUUGACUAAGGUUUCCAGAGGAAGGCUCGUCCGCUCUGGGUUAGUCGGGUCCUAAGCUGAGGCCGACAGGCGUAGGCGAUGGAUAACAGGUUGAUAUUCCUGUACCACCUAUA
rnacentral:rRNA from 1 species